CGUAAACCAAGUUAAUAACCAAGUUAUUAAGAUUUUUUAAUUGUUUGCAUAUUUAAUUGUUAAUUGACUAUUCAAAAAAACGGGCUUUGCCGUAAUGGUCUGUUACUGUGAUAGUUUUAUAUUAUCCUAACAGCACAGUGUCCAAAGGACGUACAGGGUACGUCGUUUGGGUAGUUCAAGAGGAACGAAUGUGCACGCAAAUUCUAGCAACUCAGUCUAACCUAAUUACACUAUGUAUCAAAACAUUCCUGCCGACGAAAGUUUGGAAAAAAAGUCUGUGGAACUUAGUGACACUGAUAAGAAGGCUGUAUCUGAUUCAGGGCCAGAUCCUUCUGCCCCGAUUACUAGGAAAGGAGUAUUAACAUCCUUUCUAACUGGCAAACCUAUGGAAAUACCAGAACAUGAUGUUCUUGGUAAAUGUAGGUUUGUUUCUGAGUUUGAAAAGUUGAAUCGUAUUGGAGAAGGCACUUAUGGAAUUGUAUACAGAGCCAGAGACACAAAAAAUGAUAAAGUUGUUGCAUUGAAAAAGGUAAGAAUGGAACAUGAGAAAGACGGUCUGCCAGUAAGCGGUCUCAGAGAGAUUUCAGUUCUGUUGUCCUGUCGGCAUGAAAACAUUGUACAUCUGAGAGAGGUAGUAGUAGGCAGAAGUUUAGAAAGCAUAUUCCUCGCAAUGGAAUAUUGUGAGCAAGAUUUGGCAAGUUUAUUGGACAAUAUGCAAACACCGUUUUCUGAAAGUCAAGUUAAAUGUAUAGUAUUGCAAGUACUAAAGGGUCUUCGUUACUUGCAUCAUAACUUUAUUGUUCAUAGAGACUUAAAAGUCUCUAAUCUUCUUAUGACUGACAAGGGCUGUGUAAAAAUCGCCGAUUUCGGACUGGCUAGGUGGUUUGGUUUGCCCUUGAAACCAAUGACACCUAGAGUUGUGACGUUGUGGUACCGAGCUCCUGAAUUGUUAUUGCAAGCUAAAACGCAAACUACAUCCGUGGAUAUGUGGGCGGCUGGAUGCAUUUUAGGAGAGUUGUUGGGCCACAAGCCUUUAUUACCUGGUAGAUCGGAAAUUGCACAGUUAGAGUUAAUUGUCGAUCUGUUGGGCACACCCAGUGAAGCUAUUUGGCCAGAAUUCAACUCGUUACCGGCGUUGCAAAAUUUUACACUCAAACAGCAACCGUACAAUAAUUUGAAACAAAGAUUUCCAUGGUUGAGUGCAGCUGGUCUUAGAUUGUUAAAUUUCUUGUUUAUGUACGAUCCAAAGAAGAGAGCGACUGCUGAAGAAUGCUUGCAGAGCAGUUACUUUAAGGAAGCUCCGUUACCAUGCGACCCAAAGCUUAUGCCUACUUUUCCGCAACAUAGAAAUAUGAAAAAGGCAGCUACGCAGAAGGAGAGUCGUGAGCAGGAAAAUGUUACCGAUCAAACUAAUAAUUUACCAGCAAUUUCAGACCUUCUUGGAUCAUUGGUUAAAAAGAGACGUGCUGAAUGAAGAAAUUGUCGCAAGUUUCCUUGAAUGAAAAAUUAAUCUAGACAGUUUUUGCAUUAUAUAUAUAUACAUAUAUAUAUAUAUAUAUAUAUAUAUAUAUAUGUAUGUAUAUAUGAAUAUAUAUGUAUACACACACAUAUAUACAUAUCCACACACAUAUAUGUAUAUAUAUGUAAUGGACAUCAACAUGUGUAGGCUUAUCGAUAUAAAUAUACUUUUUAUGUAAAACUUUUGAUAGUAAUGAUACACACACACACACACACACACACACACAUAUAUAUAUAUAUAUAUAUAUAGCGGUAAUAAUGCAUCUUCUGACGUUUGUUUUGUAUUUUUCUUCAAGAAAAAAAUUAUUCUUAUAAAUUUAGACACAAAAUAGAUUGCGUUAUACUUGUUUGUAUUUUGCGAUAUAAACGAAAUAGAGUCGCACUCGUGUAAACUCAGCAACAACUAAUUAAGACAAAGCAUUCGUUAUUCAGUUUAUAUAACUAGUCGACUUCUACUCGAAUAAGUCAUCGUAUCGUAUUACUAUUCCGCAAUGACGUAUAUUCACAAUUAACAAAUUAUGGUUUACGUGAUGAUUAUUGUUUUAUAAGUAAAAAAAAGAUAUGGCUACGUUAAAAUAUAUAUAAAAAAUUAUGAUUGCUC